CUGUACUUCUCAGGUGAAUACCCUGUGACGGAAACGAUUCGUUUCCUCUAUGUAUUAAUCGGAUUUUUGAACUUGGAGUACGGUGCUGGAGCUUGCUCCACCCUGCUCAUGGGUUGUCCUGGUAUUGCAUUGCCUACAGGUUCGGCUCACGUUUC
rnacentral:snRNA from 1 species